rfam:Colius striatus contig82733, whole genome shotgun sequence.
AUAUUCUGGUUUGGCUUCAGAUUGUAUAAAUCUUUCGCCUUUUACUAAGGAUUUCUGUGGGGAGGAACAUCAGUUUUAGGGGACAGAAUAAACCUUCAGCAAGUUCACUGGUGACACCAAACUG